rnacentral:tRNA from 1 species
GCCCCAGUGGCCUAAUGGGUAAGACACUGGCCUCCUAAGCCAGGGAUUGUGGGUUCAAUUCCCAUCUGGGGUG